CAGGUUUCUGGUCUCUCUUGUAAUGACUGUGUGUCACAUUGUUAUGGACGUUUCUACUUUACACAAAGUGUCUUUUGCCAAUCGCUCACAUUCUCCCGAAUCCUCUUUCUAUCUCCAAACCUAUGGGCAGCUCCGGUUAUCGAUGGCGUUUAGGGAUGGCGUCCUCAUCGUCGACAUUAUUGAGGCUAAGGCUCUUGUGGGAAAUGAUCAGGGAAAGUGCAACUGCUACGUCAAGGUGAGA